CCUGAGACUCCCUCCACCUCCUCUUCCCUCCACAGCUCUCCCGGCUUCUAUCCACAGCUGUGCUCCAGGUGGGGAACACCUGUGGAUACACCAGGGUGCAACUACUCAGAGUCCAGUGUGCAGAAGGGCCCCUGCUCUAUGCUGUUUCCGUAUCCAAGCCCAAGCUCGUCUACAGCUUCAGCAAAUCCAAGCCUCCCUGAAUUCCCCGCAAGACCAAACAGCCCUACAACACCCACCACUCUGGUUAGCUGCCAGUCCCAGCCCCUGUUCCCUCCUGGACCCCUGUCUGUACAGUUCUGAAGUCCUACAAGAAUGUUGAGAUCCUAAGCUGACUCUCACCCAAAGAGGUAAACAACCAGGGGCCUCCAGGUGGAGAGAACAUACCCAGACAGGUUCUGCUGCCUGUAGGCUUGAUGUCCUUCCCCUACAACACGACUUGCUUGCCAGGCUGGAAGAGGGGCUCCAGAAACUUGGGAAACCUGGGCCUGUAGCUGGCAUGUGGAAAAGAGGCCUGGAAAAGCACCACUCCUGUCCAUGAAGCAGGCUAUGCUGGCUUCAUCUUAUCUGUGCGAUAGGGCUGGGGGUGGGGGUGGGGGUGGGAAUUACCAAGAGACCAUCACACAGGCCGUGGACAAGUUCUACAAGAGCUGUCACAGGCCCAGCAACCACAUCUACGGCCCCCAGGACCUAAUCCCCUUCUACUUGGGGUUCAGUGCAUGUUAGCAGACACUGGGCUUGAUCCCUGCCUAGUCCCUGCCAGAUAUCCCAUGCCCACCUCGUGAAGAGAAUGAGGCCACACAAU
rnacentral:lncRNA from 1 species